GGAGGAAAGCAGGGGAUCGUAAGACCUCGCGCGAUACGAGCGGCCGAUGUCGGAUUAGCUAGUUGGGGAGGUAAAGGCUCACCAAGGCGACGAUCCGUAGCUGGUCUGAGAGGACGACCAGCCACACUGGGACUGAGACACGGCCCAGACUCCUACGGGAGGCAGCAGUGGGGAAUUUUGGACAAUGGGGGAAACCCUGAUCCAGCCAUGCCGCGUGAGUGAAGAAGGCCUUCGGGUUGUAAAGCUCUUUCGCAAGGAAAGAAAACCUAUCCGCUAAUACCGGGUGGGGAUGACGGUACCUUGAUAAGAAGCACCGGCUAACUACGUGCCAGCAGCCGCGGUAAUACGUAGGGUGCGAGCGUUAAUCGGAAUUACUGGGCGUAAAGCGUGCGCAGGCGGUUUCGUAAGUCAGAUGUGAAAUCCCCGGGCUCAACCUGGGAACUGCGUUUGAAACUACAAAGCUAG
rnacentral:rRNA from 1 species